UCCGGCUUGUCACCGGCAGUUCCUCUAGAGUGCCCACCCAAACGUGCUGGCAACUAGAGGCGAGGGUUGCGCUCGUUGCGGGACUUAACCCAACAUCUCACGACACGAGCUGACGACAGCCAUGCAGCACCUGUGCAUCAGGUCCCUUGCGGGAAAGGUGCAUCUCUGCACCGGUCCUGACCAUGUCAAGAGCUGGUAAGGUUCUGCGCGUUGCUUCGAAUUAAGCCAUAUGCUCCACCGCUUGUGCGGGCCCCCGCCAAUUCCUUUGAGUUUUAGCCUUGCGGCCGUACUCCCCAGGCGGGGCACUUAAUGCGUUAGCUUCGACACGGACGGAGUCGACACCGCCCACAUCUAGUGCCCAUCGUUUACGGCGUGGACUAC
rnacentral:misc_RNA from 1 species